rnacentral:lncRNA from 1 species
AGCCUUACAAGACAAGGAAUUAGAAAAACAUUGCAGCCCACAUCUUAUACCUAAAGACAUGGUAUUAGUUACUAAAAGAAUCAAAACCUAUCUACUGGUUCCUAACUAAUAGGAACUUAUCAACAGAACUUUCACAAAGCCAAACUUAAUAGAAACAAAUAAAUCCCAACAAUAAUUCCUCCCAUAAACUAAAACAAUAUGCAUUCAGUUUAAGUUUGGUACCUCACAUACCCCAAGCUUCUCACGCAACUUCAAGAACACUUCAAGCUUCAGUGGCUUUGUCAGGAUAUCAACCACUUGAUCAUUGGUGCCACAAUGAACCAACUUCACUACUUCCUCCUUAGUGAGGUCCCUCAAGAAAUGGAACCUCACAUCUAUAUGCUUGCUCCUACCAUGCAUAACCGGAUUCUUGGAUAACUUGAUCAUUGAACUGUUGUCACACAUAAUAGUAGUACACUUACUCUGUGAGUGCCCAAUCUUUUCUAACACUCUCCUCAUCCAUAUACAUUGACAAGCACAGAAAGCUGUUACCACAAAUUUUGCUUCAGUGGUACACAAAGUCACCACUGGUUGCUUCUUUGAGGCCCAAGAAACUGCUAUGCCACUCAAUAAAAACACAUAACCAGAUGUGCUCUUCUUAUCAUCAGUGUCUCCAGCAUAAUCGCUGUCAGUGUAAGCCAAUAGUUCUUCAACAUCUUCUCAUCUCUUAUAAAACACACCCAACUCCACAAUUCCUUUUAAAUAACGAAGAACUCUCUUUGUUGCUUGCAUAUGUAGGUCAGUAGGAUUGGCUAUAUACCUGCUCAAGAGACAUACUACGUACGUUAAAUUAGGUCUUGUUGUAGUAAUGUACAUGAGACUCCCAAUUAAUUGCUUAUAAACUGUAGCAUCAAUCCUAGCACCUUCUCCUUCCUCUGAUAGCUUGAAACCGGGCACAAUAGGAUUCUCCACUGAAUUGGCAUUUUGUAAACCAAACUUCUCAAGUAAUUCACAAGCAUACUUCUUCUGACUUAAGAAGAUACCCUCUGAAGUUUGCAAAACUUCAACACCAAGGAAGUACUUCAUCUUCCCUAAAUCUAUCAUAUCAAACUCAUCCUUCAUGGAACUCUUGAAGCUUUCAAACAUGCAUGCAUCAUUCCCAAUAAAGAUUAAGUCAUCCACAUACAAACUCACAAUUAAGAACCUCUUACCUCCUUCUUCUAUUUUGACAAAGAGAGUGUGCUCGUAAUCACAUCGUUCAAAUCCCUCAUUAACAAAAUAAGCUUCAAUUCUGCUAUACCAAGCACGUGGUGCUUGCUUCAACCCAUAUAAUGCCUUCUUAAGCUUGUAGACCUUUUUUUCUUCACCCUUUCGAAUAUAACCUAGUGGUUGCUCCACAUACACAUCUUCUUUCAACUCACCAUGAAGAAACACACUUUUGACGUCUAAUUGAUACACACUCCAUCCCUUUUGUGCUGCUAGGGCUAGAACCAUCUGAAUUGUGUCCCACCUUGCUACUGGAGCAAAGACUUCAUUAUAAUCAAUUCCUUGUCGCUGAGCAUAACUUUUAGCUACCAACUGGGCUUUGCACUUAUCAACCUCACCCUUUUCAUUCAAUUUGGUCUUAAAAACCCACUUCACACCAAUCUUCUUAGCACCUUUAGGCAAAGUAGUAAGCUGCUAGGUUUUAUUCUUCUCAAUUGCUUCAAUUUCCAAGUCCAUGGUCCUUCUCCAUUUCACAUCCCUCUUAGCUUCUUCAAAAGAUCCCGGAUCUUCAUGAGAGAUAAACAUUGCAAGAUUAUUCACAUCUGCAUCUUCUGACAGUUCUUCACCUGUUACAUAGUCCUGCAAGUAAGGAGGUGCUCUUCGAAUCCUUGUUUCAUCUUGAACUGGUGCAACUUCAUUGGAUGAUUCAAUCGAUGUUGGAGUUGUUGCUUCUGCUUCUUGAUUUGUAACCACUACUUCAAUACAUUCCACAACUUAUUCUUCACUCUCAGAGAAAGCAUCUUCACCUUCAACACUAUCUUCCCAGACCAGUAUAUCACGCUUCACUUCUUUAGUUGUCCUCCCCCAAUUCCAACCUUUAUCCUCUUCGAAACUCACAUUUCUGCUCACUAUAAUUCUUCUAGUAGCUGGAUCAAACAACCGAUAAGCUUUAGAUUCAUGACUUACUCCAAGUAAGACACACUAAAGACUUUUAUCAUCCAAUUUUGUUCUCUUCUGAUCUGGCACAUGUACAUGAGCUAGGCACCCAAAAACCCUUAAGUAGUCCACUUUGGGUUUAACUCCACUCCACAUCUCUUCUGGGGUCUUGUCUUUCACUACCAAUGUUGGACUCCUGUUGAGAACAUGCACUAUCCAUCUUGCAGCUUCUAGCCAGAAUGCUUUUGGCACUUGUUUGUCACAAAGCAUGCACUGAACCAUAUUCAUGAUAGUUUGAUUUUUGCGUUCAGCUACCCCAUUUUUUUGUGGGGUAUAAGAUGUUGUCAGCUGCCUGCUUAUACCAUUGAUUCUACAAAACUCAUUAAACUCAUUGGAGGUGAAUUCUCCUCCUCUAUCAGUGCUUAAACAAUAGAUAAGUUCACUCGACUCCUUCUCAACCAAGCUCUUACAGUUUUUGAAAGUUGUAAAUGUUUCAGACUUUGCAACCAAAAAAUAUAUCCAUACCUUUUUACUAAAAUCAUCGAUGAAGGUUAUAAUAUACCUUUUGCUACUGUUGGAUUCAGGAGUAAUAGGGCCACAUAUAUCAGCAUGAACGAGCUGCAAUUUUCGGGAAGCUCUCCACUGACUCUUCUUUGGAAUAGCAUUUCCGUGUUGCUUUCCCACAAAGCAUUCAUUGCAAGCUAUAGUUGACGCUCUGAGAAGUGGAAGACCCUUCACCAUCUCUUUGUAUUGCAAAGUCCUCAACCCUUUGUAACUCAAAUGCCCAAACCUACGGUGCCACAACUUUGAAUUAUCUUCUGUGACUGUUUACAGGCAUGUCGAGGUCUCAAGCACCACAUUAGCCAAUAACACAAACAUCCGAUUUGUUGUCAUUUUUGUCUGCAUAAUCAAUCCUCUUCUAGGGUGGUAUAACUUACAUUCCCCAUUUUGUAUAAUUAUAGCUAAACCCCUUUCUUGAAGUUGCCUUAUACUCAGCAAAUUAUUCUUCAAAGCAAGAACAUAGUAAACAUCAGUGACUACCUAAGUUGAGCCAUUAAUCUCAAGUCGGAUGUUGCCUUUGCCCAUCACUCCCAUCCUUGUAUUAUUGCCGAGCUUCACAGAGUGUUUGAAAGCCUCAUCAAUGUUAGAGAACCACUGCUUGUUCCCGCACAUGUGAUUGUUGCAACCUGAGUCGAGGAACCACACAUCUUCUCGUUUCGAGUUGUUGACUUCAACAUAAGACAUGAGGAACAUCUCUUCUUCUUCAUCUAACUCAGUAUAGUUUGCACUCUUCUCCCAACUAGGACAUUCGUAUUGGAAGUGCCCUAGUUUGUGGCAUUUAAAACACUCCAGUGUGGCCUUGUUUGCAAAGUAACUUCCUCUGCCUCUCCCGCGGCCUCGAACAUAACUUUGACCUCUGCCUCUUCCUUCAUACCUUUCUCCAUACAAAACCUUUAAAGCUUGUUCAUCCCUUGCAUUUCCAUUAUGACAAUUCAUUCUCUGUUCAUGAACCAAAAGGCUGCUUUGAAGCUCGUCAAUGGUCAUCGUGUCCACAUUAUUGGACUCUUCUAUUGAGCAUACCUCAUAGUCGAACCUGGGAGUCAUCGAUCUCAAGAUUUUCCCCACAAUCACGUUUUGCCCCAUUCUUUCUUCAUGUACUUUCAUCUUGUUUGCAAUAGUCAAAGCUCUGGCAAAGUACUCAUCAACCUUCUCACCCUCUUUCAUCUAUAGGAUCUCAAACUCUUUUCUAAGGGCUUGUAGUUGAGCUCGUUUAACUCUGGUGGAGCCCUGAUACUUCUGCCUCAUUGAAUCCCAUGUACUCUUUGUUGUGUUCUUAUCAAGAAUUGUCUCCAUAAUGGUCCUAUCAAUCGAUUGAAACAUGUAGUUCUUGAUCUUCAUAUCAUUUAGCCUCACCUCUUCAACUUCUUUUCUUUAUGCUUGAGUAGGCGUUGAUCCUUCGACUAUUGAAGGAAUUCCAUUUUCUACUAUGCUCCAGUACUUCUUUGAAUGGAGAAAAUUCUCCAUUAACAUGGCCCAAUGGUCAUAAUAAUCAUCAAAUCUUGGAAUUGCCGGAUGAGCAAAGUUUUCUGUCGCCAUGUUCACUCACUCCACCUUCCUUUCUUCUCUAUUCUCUCUUCUCACACUCUGUAAGAAAUCUGUAGUUUCUUACUUUCUUCAAUCAGGCCUCUUAGCGGAGCUCUGAUACCAGAUUGUUGAAAGCAAGAACUAUAAAGCUAUGAACUCAUACAAAUCUGGAAUAACAUCCCCUGUUUUAUUGAACACUUACUGGUGGCUUAUAUAGCUUUACAAGAUAAGGAAUUAGAAAAAUAUUGUAUCCCACGUCUUAUACCUAAAGACAUGGUAUUAGUUACUAAAAGAGUCAAAACCUAUCUACUGGUUCCUAACUAAUAGGAACUUAUUAACAGAACUUUGACAAAGCCAAACCUUAACAGAAACAAAUAAAUCCCAACAGUAUAAUCCUUUGUUUUCAUUUUGCCUUGGUAAAAUGCUUAGAUCAAUAAGUUUUGAAAGUUUUGCAUCUUCAAAUUACUAACUGCUAAUGAUAUGUAGCAACCUAAUCAUGUAUGUUACUUUCAAUAUUGCAUUCUAAGAGUUUGGGACAUGCCAAGGUUUGAUUUAAUAAUUAUUUCUUUCACGUUUUUAAAUUGGAAAUCAUUGUUUGUUCAGGUUCAUUGCCCAAGCUUAAAGUCUUUGCCAUAAGGAAACAAACUUUUGAUAGGCCUAAUGAUUUCUCAUGGCUAAUUCAUAUCUACUAGAUGUUUGAUACCGAAAGAACUUUUGCUCUAUUAUAAAUUUAGGUUUGUUUGCCAUAUAUUUUAUGUUCAAAUUUGUUAAAAUGAUUAAACUAGUUAAUUUUGAAAUUUAUAACAUGUUUAUAAUAAUUCAUUAUUGAUUGUUUGCACUCAUUAUGUUACUUGAUGUUUUCUUCUUAUACCAGACUUAUACUAAAAGGAUAAUGUUGAGAAUUGGCAUAAUACAAUUCAAUAUUCCCACUAUAAAUGUUCACAAGUUAUGGAUAGCUAAUGCAUAAGGAUAAAGUUAUUUCAUUUGCAUGUUGUAUGGAAGGUUGAUGCAUAUGGAAAGAGUAAGAUCAAUUUGUUGUUGUCUAUAAUAUAUAUGAUUACUUCGUCUCUUUCUUUGUUCAGUGUCAUGCUCAAUAACUUAUAAUUUUUCAUUUAAUUUGUUAAGAAAUACUAUACUCUAUUUGAAGUUAUGAUCUUAUGAUUCUCAUAAUAUAGAAAACCUUGAACAUAAUGUAAUGGGUCAGGUUCCCAUAAGUCAUAAUGCACCUUAUCAAGGGGAAAUUUGAAGUUUUUAGUUGAUAAAGAAAAACAAAAUUUGUAACUCUUCCUAAUUUGACAACUACUACAUAUUGAUUUAUCUUUUGUCUUUACUAAUAUCAUCGAUAAAUGUUCUAUUUCUUGUAAAAAAUUUAAAUAUUUUACCGAUAUCAUUUAUCAUGUUCACCUUGGCAUAGGCAAGGUCAUUUCGUCUUCAUAGACUUAUUGUAGUCAAUGCUUGGGGAAUUUCUUUUAAGCUAUAUGAAUAGUCAAACAUGUUUUAACAAUCUUUUGGAAGUGAUUAGUUUUAUUAAAAAUUUGACAAACAAUAAUACCUCCAGCUUUUGAGAGUUGUCAAUUCUAUCAUUCUAGUUGAGUUGUUUUUCCAUUGAUUGUUGUCAUGUCAUUUGUUUUUGUUAUUCUACUUGCCUCAACCAUUACCUUGAAAUCUUUCGCAUGAGUGAAAACUCUUCCUCUCUAAUUAAAAUGAUUGCCAUUAUUUUUUC